rnacentral:lncRNA from 12 species
GGGGGGGGGGGGGGGGGGGGGGGGGGGGGGGGGGGGGGGGGGGGGGGGGGGGGGGGGGGGGGGGGGGGGGGGGGGAUGCGGAAUAGGGAUGUAGGAUGCGGGAUGCGGGAUGUGGAUGUGGGGGAGGAUGCAGGAUGUGGGCUGGGGUGCGGGAUGUGGAUGCGGGGAGGGAUGCGGGAUGCGAGAAGAGGAAUGCGGGGUGGGAUGUGGGAUUCGGGGCGGCAGGGACGGAUGCAUGGCGGGAUGUGGAUGCGGGGGAGGAUGCGGGACACAGGAUGGAUGAAGGGUGGGAUGCGGGAUGUGGACGCGAGGCGGGAUGGACGCCGGAUGUGGGACGCGGGAUGUGGGAUGCGGGAUGCAGGAAGGGAUGCAGGGAGGAAUGGAGGGUGGGAUGCAGGACGCAGGAAUGGGUGCGGGAUGCGGGAUGUGGAGCAGGGUGCAGGACGCAGGGAGAUGCGGGAUGCAGGAAGGGAUGCAGGGAGGAAUGGAGGGUGGGAUGCAGGACGCAGGAAUGGGUGCGGGAUGCGGGAUGUGGAGCAGGGUGCAGGACGCAGGGAGGGAUGUGGGGCGGGACGGAUGCAGAGCAGGACGUCGGAAGCAGGGAUGAAUGCAGGGCGGGAUGCGGGGCAGGAUGCAGAAAGCGAUGCGGGAUGCGGGAUGCAGGGAGGGAUGCGGAUGCAGGAUGGAUGCGGAGCAGGAUGCGGGAGGCAGGGAUGCAUGCGGGGCAGGGCGUGGGAUGCGAGGCGGGGUGGAUGCGGGAUGCGGGAUGCGGGGCAGGGUGCAGAAAGGGAUGUGGGGUGCAGGACAGGAUACGGGACGCAGGGAGGGAUGUGGGGUGCAGGAUGAGGCGCGGGUGGAACGCAGGCAGCGGUGCCUCAGCACAGAGCUCCGGGGAGAGAGGGGCUGGGACAGCGCCCCCCUCCCAUUCCCAUCCUGGUCCCCUUCUCCCCUCGCUGCCUCCACCCUGUCCCUCCCCACCACGGCCAGAUGGAGCCCCCUGGAGCCCUGUGAAAGCGACCAGAAAAGGGCAUCUCGCCCAGAUCUUUUCACCGCCGUCGUGUUUGGUGAUGUUUAUUUCCC